rnacentral:rRNA from 1 species
AUUGAACGCUGGCGGCAGGCCUAACACAUGCAAGUCGAACGGUAACAGGAAGAAGCUUGCUUCUUUGCUGACGAGUGGCGGACGGGUGAGUAAUGUCUGGGAAACUGCCUGAUGGAGGGGGAUAACUACUGGAAACGGUAGCUAAUACCGCAUAACGUCGCAAGACCAAAGAGGGGGACCUUCGGGCCUCUUGCCAUCGGAUGUGCCCAGAUGGGAUUAGCUAGUAGGUGGGGUAACGGCUCACCUAGGCGACGAUCCCUAGCUGGUCUGAGAGGAUGACCAGCCACCCUGGAACUGAGACACGGUCCAGACUCCUACGGGAGGCAGCAGUGGGGAAUAUUGCACAAAGGGCGCAAGCCUGAUGCAGCCAUGCCGCGUGUAUGAAGAAGGCCUUCGGGUUGUAAAGUACUUUCAGCGGGGAGGAAGGGAGUAAAGUUAAUACCUUUGCUCAUUGACGUUACCCGCAGAAGAAGCACCGGCUAACUCCGUG